UACGUAGGGUGCAAGCGUUGUCCGGAAUUAUUGGGCGUAAAGAGCGUGUAGGCGGCCUGAAAGGUCAGCUGUGAAAACUCGAGGCUUAACCUCGAGACGUCGGUUGAAACCAUCUGGCUAGAGUCCGGAAGAGGAGUGUGGAAUUCCCGGUGUAGCGGUGAAAUGCGCAGAUAUCGGGAAGAACACCCGUGGCGAAGGCGGCACUCUGGGACGGUACUGACACUAAGGCGCGAAAGCGUGGGGAGCGAACAGG
rnacentral:rRNA from 1 species